rnacentral:rRNA from 1 species
UAUUUCUGUCUCCGUUGGUGACCAGCGGAGGGUCAUUACCGAGUUUACAACUCCCAAACCCCUGUGAACAUACCUUAUGUUGCCUCGGCGGAUCAGCCCGCGCCCCGUAAAAAGGGACGGCCCGCCGCAGGAACCCUAAACUCUGUUUUUAGUGGAACUUCUGAGUAUAAAAAACAAAUAAAUCAAAACUUUCAACAACGGAUCUCUUGGUUCUGGCAUCGAUGAAGAACGCAGCAAAAUGCGAUAAGUAAUGUGAAUUGCAGAAUUCAGUGAAUCAUCGAAUCUUUGAACGCACAUUGCGCCCGCCAGUAUUCUGGCGGGCAUGCCUGUUCGAGCGUCAUUUCAACCCUCAAGCCCAGCUUGGUGUUGGGAGCUGCAGUCCUGCUGCACUCCCCAAAUACAUUGGCGGUCACGUCGAGCUUCCAUAGCGUAGUAAUUUACACAUCGUUACUGGUAAUCGUCGCGGCCACGCCGUUAAACCCCAACUUCUGAAUGUUGACCUCGGAUCAGGUAGGAAUACCCGCUGAACUUAAGCAUAUCAAA